rnacentral:rRNA from 1 species
GAUGAACGCUGGCGGCGUGCCUAAUACAUGCAAGUCGAGCGAACAGACGAGGAGCUUGCUCCUUUGACGUUAGCGGCGGACGGGUGAGUAACACGUGGGUAACCUACCUAUAAGACUGGGAUAACUUCGGGAAACCGGAGCUAAUACCGGAUAAUAUUUCGAACCGCAUGGUUCGAUAGUGAAAGAUGGCUUUGCUAUCACUUAUAGAUGGACCUGCGCCGUAUUAGCUAGUUGGUAAGGUAACGGCUUACCAAGGCAACGAUACGUAGCCGACCUGAGAGGGUGAUCGGCCACACUGGAACUGAGACACGGUCCAGACUCCUACGGGAGGCAGCAGUAGGGAAUCUUCCGCAAAGGGCGGAAGCCUGACGGAGCAACGCCGCGUGAGUGAUGAAGGUCUUCGGAUCGUAAAACUCUGUUAUUAGGGAAGAACAAACGUGUAAGUAACUGUGCACGUCUUGACGGUACCUAAUCAGAAAGCCACGGCUAACUACGUG